UUCGGUUUACUUUCACUUUCACUUUCUGUUUAAAGGGCGUUGGUGCCACCCAUUGCUUGGCUAAAGUGCUGCAGGUCGUCUCUGACUGCAUUUCUCCCUCUCCAUCUCCUUCAGAACACGUUUUUAUAUAUUUGCAAUAACGAGCUGAUUCUACAACAAUGCAGUAAUAAUUUUGUAAUUUACUGUGCAGAAAAGGCAGAAGAAAGUGGAAAUGAUGAGAUGGAUGGAAGCCCUGCUAAGCAACAAAGGCGUGCUGAUCUGCCACCAUAUAAUGGUAACUUCAUGCUACCCGAUCUGGAGGAUUAUGCUCGGAACAACCAAAUCCAACUGAUAAAGCAACUGGAAGAACAGCUGGAAUCUGAAGCCAUGUCUGAACUGAAAAAACUACUGGCCCAGAGUAAGCUGAAGAACAAUUUUUCAUUCACUGCUCAACAGUUUUAUGACCUGUACAUCAAUAAGGAAGUGAAUGCUUUCCUGGGUGAUAUCAGUAGUGGAAAAAAAUUACAAAAAAUACCAAAAAAGAUUCUUGAAAUCCUGUUCACAGUGAAGAAGACUAAUAAUAAGCAGGCCAAGGAUCAGAAACAAACUAAAGAAAGCACUCAUCAUAAUUGGAAACCCACAUUAUGGGAGACUCAACAAGCCACUUCUAGUCCUACUGAUUCUACUCAGGGACAUGAAAUAAAAGGUCACGAACAGAGUGUAAGUGAUGACCAAGUGCCCCAGGUUAAUACUAUUAAAUCUGCUGAAAAGGAAACUGAUGUGGAGGCGAAUAAGGUAAUGGUAGAAAAUUAUCCAGAUAGAGAUUUGACAGUGGUUGACAAAAAAUGGAGCAGACAUGAAAUAAAAAGUCAUGACCAGAGUGUAAAUGAUGACCAAGUGCCCCAGGACUGUGUCAUUAAAUCUGCUGGAAAAGAAACUGAUUCAGUGGUGCUUAAGGAAAUGGUAGAAAAUUAUUCAGAAAGAGAUUUUAUGAUGGUUGGCAUGAAAUGGUAUGGAGGUGAAAUACCAAGCUAUGAUCAGAAUGUAAGUGACGACCAGGUACCACAGGAUUGUGCCAUUAAAUCUGCCGGAAAGGAAACUGAUAUAGCGGUGAAUAAAGUGAUGAUAGAAAAUGAUCGAGAAAUGUUGAUGAAGGCUGUCAAGAAAUGGUAUGAAAAAAACCAAGAGAAAUAUCAGAAGGAAGACCACAGCUUAGAUCACAUCGGGGUUCAUCAACACAAGACAAUCAGCUGUUUUAUAGUGCAAGAUGUUCUAUGCGACCGGUUGCCGGAGGAAAGAGUUUUGAUCAAUGUUCUGGAUGGAAAAGCUUGGACCAAAGGAGGAAGUCUAACAGCAAAAGUGAAGUUUGAACUGCAGUUUAACAUGGCUGUUGUAGAUGCUCAGAAUACUUACAUUACAAGUUCAAAUGGCGAUGGAAAGGUAGUGCAAGCUGAUCAAUCCUUCUCACGCUGUAAAACUAUUUUUACUAAUAUUGUAUUUGAAUUAGUACUCCCCAUCCUAGCUCUGCAUAAGCAAGUAAAAGUAGACAUUCUUCAAAAGACUUUGGAAAGUUAAAUAGCAUAGCUGGCUGGUAUUUUUUAAACAUGUAUUCUUUGUCUUUGUCCUUUUCUUACAACUUUGUAUACUUUUCAAGGGGCAAAAGAAAUCCAUGUUUACAAUGAGAAGGCAGAUUCAGAAUCUUUGUCAGUGCCAGGAGAAGCCCUUAAUGGGCAUAACUAUGCUGUUAGACACCAUAUUGGCAAUCCCUGAUUUAGAUAGUGAUGGGAAAUCCUAUUGCUUAUGUUGUUUUAUUAAGCCUGUGGUAUUUUAAUGAUUUGGAGAGCUAAGGCCUACAUGGAGCUAAAGCAGAUCCACUAAGCCACUGUGUUAAAAGGGAGUGCAGUAGAACCUGUUUGUUAACUUUAACCUUCCCUCCUUUUUACUAUAGGUACACAAGUGAUCAAUUCCCACUGCAUUUGUUUCAAUUGAAUGAAUUAUGUAAACUAAUUGAUCUAUAAAUAAACCUGUAACUGUC
rnacentral:lncRNA from 1 species